rnacentral:rRNA from 1 species
GACGAACGCUGGCGGCGUGCCUAAUACAUGCAAGUAGAACGCAGUUGCGAACGGGUGAGUAAGGCGUAGGUAACUGCCUGGUAGCGGGGGAUAACUAUUGGAAACGAUAGCUAAUACCGCAUACUACCAGAUGGACCUGCGUUGUAGUAGCUAGUGGGUGGGGUAACGGCGCACAAAGGCAACGAUAGAUAGCCGACCUGAGAGGGUGAUCGGCCACACUGGGACUGAGACACGGCCCAGAUUCCGACGGGAGGCAGCAGUGGGGAAUAUUGCACAAUGGGCGCAAGCCUGAUGCAGCCAUGCCGCGUGUGUGAAGAAGGCCUUCGGGUUGUAAAGCACUUUCAGCGGGGAGGCGUUACCCGCAGAAGAAGCACCGGCUAACUCCGUGCCAGCAGCCGCGGUAAUAC